GACGAACGCUGGCGGCGUGCUUAACACAUGCAAGUCGAACGGAAAGGCCCCUUUGGGGGUACUCGAGUGGCGAACGGGUGAGUAACACGUGAGUAACCUGCCCUUGACUUCGGGAUAACUUCAGGAAACUGGGGCUAAUACCGGAUAGGAAUCCUUGCUGCAUGGUGGGGGUUGGAAAGCUUCGGCGGUUUUGGAUGGACUCGCGGCUUAUCAGCUUGUUGGUGGGGUAGUGGCUUACCAAGGCUUUGACGGGUAGCCGGCCUGAGAGGGCGACCGGCCACAGUGGGACUGAGAUACGGCCCAGACUCCUACGGGAGGCAGCAGUGGGGAAUAUUGCACAAUGGGCGGAAGCCUGAUGCAGCAACGCCGCGGGCGGGAUGACGGCCUUCGGGUUGUAAACCGCUUUCAGCAGGGGCGAAGCUUGUGGUGACGGCACCUGCAGAAGAAGCACCGGCUAACUACGUG
rnacentral:rRNA from 1 species